AUUCCAAUGGUCUAGUGGUUACGACGUCGCCUUUACACGGCGAAGAUCCCGGGUUCAAACCCCGGUUGGAAUA
rnacentral:tRNA from 1 species